CCCACCCCGCCGUCUCGGUCUCACCUCGCCGCGCCGGGACCCAAGACCAGACCCAAUCCCCUAAACCCGGCCCCAAACCCUAGCGCCGCCGCCAUGCUGCGCCGCCUCGCCUCCGCCGCCGCCCCGCGGGCCUUCUUCUCGCCCUCCCCGGCGGCGGGCCACGCCCCGCGCCGCGAGUACGGGCUGGUCCCCAUGGUCAUCGAGCACACCUCCCGCGGGGAGCGCGCCUACGACAUCUUCUCCCGCCUCCUCAAGGAGCGCAUCGUCUGCAUCCACGGGCCCAUCGCCGACGACACGGCCUCGCUCGUCGUCGCGCAGCUGCUCUUCCUCGAGUCCGAGAACCCCGCCAAGCCGAUCCACCUCUACAUCAACUCCCCCGGCGGGGUCGUCACCGCGGGCCUCGCGAUCUACGACACCAUGCAGUACAUCCGCUCCCCGGUCACCACGCUCUGCAUCGGCCAGGCCGCCUCCAUGGGCUCGCUGCUGCUCGCCGCCGGCGCGCCCGGCGAGCGGCGCGCGCUGCCCAACGCCCGGGUUAUGAUCCACCAGCCGUCGGGCGGUGCCUCCGGGCAGGCCUCCGACAUUGCGAUCCAGGCCAAGGAGAUCCUCAAGGUGCGCGACCGCCUCAACAAGAUCUACGCCAAGCACACGGGCCAGGCCAUCGACCGCAUCGAGCAGUGUAUGGAGAGGGACAUGUUUAUGGACCCAGUGGAGGCGCACGCCUGGGGGCUCAUCGAUGAGGUCAUCGAGCACCGCCCAAUUUCACUCGUUUCUGAUGCCGUGAGCAGCGAGCCGCCGAAGAACGCCGGAGGAGGGGAAAACAAGGGAACAGAGGAGCCGUCUCCAGCUUGA
rnacentral:rRNA from 1 species